rnacentral:rRNA from 1 species
AACGAACGCUGGCGGCGUGCCUAACACAUGCAAGUCGAACGGAGAUAAGAAGCUUGCUUCUUAUUUUAGUGGCGCACGGGUGAGUAACGCGUGGAUAAUCUACCUGAUGCUCUGGGAUAACAUCUCGAAAGGGGUGCUAAUACCGGAUAAGCCCACGAGAUCUUCGGAUCAUGCGGGAAAAGAAGGGGACCUUCGGGCCUUCCGACAUCAGAUGAGUCCGCGUCCCAUUAGCUAGUUGGCGGGGUAAUGGCUCACCAAGGCUACGAUGGGUAGCUGGUCUGAGAGGAUGAUCAGCCACACUGGAACUGAGACACGGUCCAGACUCCUACGGGAGGCAGCAGUGGGGAAUUUUGCGCAAUGGGGGAAACCCUGACGCAGCAACGCCGCGUGAGUGAUGAAGGCUUUCGGGUCGUAAAGCUCUGUCAGAAGGGAAGAAAUGUAGGUGGCUAAUAUCCAUUCUACUUGACGGUACCUUCAAAGGAAGCACCGGCUAACUCCGUGCCAGCCGCCGCAGUAACAC